rnacentral:sRNA from 1 species
CAGUCUCGAUCUGCGUCGGGCUUAUAAAGUGGAUGUGUGUGUCGAUCCCCCCGGCAGUCAUGAUCAUCCCAGCACCGCCAUGCACUUCUGUUGAAGGCCCAAUAAUCAUUCCUUCUGUUACGCCAUCCUGUACAUCCGGAUUUCCAGCUUUACCAACGCCAACUAUCUUUCCAUCUUUAAUACCCACAUCAGCUUUUACAAUGCCCCAAUGGUCGAUGAUAAUAACGUUGUUUAUACAAAAAUCGAGCACGUCUUCAUCGCGCAAAGCACGCGCCGACUGGCCCAUACCAUCACGAAUUG